CUUUAGUUUAAUUCUGGCUAAAAAAGAGUUUAUUUUUACCUUUCACAUAAAAAAAUUAUAAAUAUGGGUUAAAAAAAAGAGUUUUUUAUUUAGUGGUGAAAUCUUUUUUUUUAUUGCGAAAUAGAUAGGGGUAGAAGUAAAAGAGGUGGAAAACUCUCAGUGCCAGCAUCCGCGGUUAUUCUGUGGUCCUUUCUCUUUGAUUUGGUAAAAAUUUAUUUGUACUAAAAAAACUAGAAGGUGUAAAAGUUUUGCUAGGUUAUAAAAAAAGGGUGAAAUAAAAAUAAAAAUUUUUUAAGGAUAGAGAUUAGAGACCUCUUUACUAAAUUGUAAUUUUUUUACCUUGGUUACAACUAAAAGAAUUUGGCAGCUAACGAUAUUCGUCCGGGGGAACGUGCUUCUUAAACAGAUGAUACACUAAAAAGUUUACCAGGUCUACCGGAGUUAGUGUAUAUCCGGUUUAAUAUCCAUAAUUAAUUUAAAGUGGGUGCUUAUACAAAAUGUUGAAUAAUUUAAGUCAGGUCGAUGUGCUGCUUAUGAUUUGGGUGUUUGUGCGUUACAAUAAAAAAAAAUAGAAUGAAAAAGUAGUUUUUAUUCAGGACUCGGCAGUAGGAGUAUAAUAUAUAGAUGCUUCGAAUGGGAUUUAGUUAGGGUACACAUCGCCCGUCAGUUUCAAUGUCAAUUGGAAUAAGUCGUAACAUGGUAACAAUUGGGGAACCAGUUGUUAAGAGAUC
rnacentral:ncRNA from 1 species